GAGGAAUCUUGGACAAUGGGGGAAACCCUGAUCCAGCGACGCCGCGUGAAGGAUGAAGGUCUUCGGAUUGUAAACUUCUUUUGUUCGGGAAUAAAAAAUCUGUGGAAACACGGAGAUUGAAGGUACCGGAUGAAUAAGCCACGGCUAACUUCGUGCCAGCAGCCGCGGUAAUACGAAGGUGGCAAGCGUUACUCGGAAUUACUAGGCGUAAAGGGCAGGUAGGUGGUUUGAUAAGUCUGUUGUGUAAGCUCCCGGCUUAACUGGGAGAGGUCAACAGAAACUGUCAGGCUUGAGUAUAGGAGAGGGUACUGGAAUUCCCGGUGUAGCGGUGAAAUGCGCAGAGAUCGGGAGGAACACCAAUGGCGAAAGCAGGUACCUGGACUAUUACUGACACUAAGCUGCGAAAGCUAGGGGAGCAAAC
rnacentral:rRNA from 1 species